rnacentral:rRNA from 1 species
GAUUAAGUUAUUAAGGGCGCACGGUGGAUGCCUUGGCACUAGAAGCCGAUGAAGGACGUUACUAACGACGAUAUGCUUUGGGGAGCUGUAAGUAAGCUUUGAUCCAGAGAUUUCCGAAUGGGGAAACCCAGCAUGAGUUAUGUCAUGUUAUCGAUAUGUGAAUACAUAGCAUAUCAGAAGGCACACCCGGAGAACUGAAACAUCUUAGUACCCGGAGGAAGAGAAAGAAAAUUCGAUUCCCUUAGUAGCGGCGAGCGAAACAGGAAGAGCCCAAACCAACAAGCUUGCUUGUUGGGGUUGUAGGACACUCUAUACGGAGUUACAAAGGACGACAUUAGACGAAUCAUCUGGAAAGAUGAAUCAAAGAAGGUAAUAAUCCUGUAGUCGAAAAUGUUGUCUCUCUUGAGUGGAUCCUGAGUACGACGGAGCACGUGAAAUUCUGUCGGAAUCUGGGAGGACCAUCUCCUAAGGCUAAAUACUCUCUAGUGACCGAUAGUGAACCAGUACCGUGAGGGAAAGGUGAAAAGCACCCCGGAAGGGGAGUGAAAUAGAACCUGAAACCGUGUGCUUACAAGUAGUCAGAGCCCGUUAAUGGGUGAUGGCGUGCCUUUUGUAGAAUGAACCGGCGAGUUACGAUUUGAUGCAAGGUUAAGCAGUAAAUGUGGAGCCGUAGCGAAAGCGAGUCUGAAUAGGGCGUUUAGUAUUUGGUCGUAGACCCGAAACCAGGUGAUCUACCCUUGGUCAGGUUGAAGUUCAGGUAACACUGAAUGGAGGACCGAACCGACUUACGUUGAAAAGUGAGCGGAUGAACUGAGGGUAGCGGAGAAAUUCCAAUCGAACCUGGAGAUAGCUGGUUCUCUCCGAAAUAGCUUUAGGGCUAGCCUCAAGUGAUGAUUAUUGGAGGUAGAGCACUGUUUGGACGAGGGGCCCCUCUCGGGUUACCGAAUUCAGACAAACUCCGAAUGCCAAUUAAUUUAACUUGGGAGUCAGAACAUGGGUGAUAAGGUCCGUGUUCGAAAGGGAAACAGCCCAGACCACCAGCUAAGGUCCCAAAAUAUAUGUUAAGUGGAAAAGGAUGUGGCGUUGCCCAGACAACUAGGAUGUUGGCUUAGAAGCAGCCAUCAUUUAAAGAGUGCGUAAUAGCUCACUAGUCGAGUGACACUGCGCCGAAAAUGUACCGGGGCUAAACAUAUUACCGAAGCUGUGGAUUGUCCUUUGGACAAUGGUAGGAGAGCGUUCUAAGGGCGUUGAAGCAUGAUCGUAAGGACAUGUGGAGCGCUUAGAAGUGAGAAUGCCGGUGUGAGUAGCGAAAGACGGGUGAGAAUCCCGUCCACCGAUUGACUAAGGUUUCCAGAGGAAGGCUCGUCCGCUCUGGGUUAGUCGGGUCCUAAGCUGAGGCCGACAGGCGUAGGCGAUGGAUAACAGGUUGAUAUUCCUGUACCACCUAUAAUCGUUUUA